GGCCUUUUUUUUUUUGUGAAGAAUUGAGUUGCAAUUUUGAUGGAGAUUUUUUUAAUCUUUGCUUUUUUUUUUUUUUUUUUUUUUUUUUUUUUUUUUUUUUUUUAGUUUGCUUUUGUUUGGAUGACCUUUGUUACUCUGCUCCUUCUACUGAUCCAUGAACAUGGGAAAUCCUCCCAUCUUCUGAGGUCUUCUUCAAUUUCUUUCUUCAGAGGCUUGAAGUUCUUAUUGUACAGAUCUUUUACUUGCUUGGUUAAAGUCACACCGAGGUACUUUAUAUUAUUUGGGUCUAUUAUGAAGGGUGUCGUUUCCCUAAUUUCUUUCUCGGCUUGUUCCUCUUUUGUGUAGAGGAAGGUUACUGAUUUAUUUGAGUUAAUUUUAUACCCAGCCACUUUGCUGAAGUUGUUUAUCAGCUUUAGUAGUUCUCUGGUGGAACUUUUGGGAUCACUUAAAUAUACUAUCAUAUCAUCUGCAAAUAGUGAUAUUUUGACUUUUUUUUCCGAUCUGUAUCCCCUUGACCUCCUUUUGUUUUCUGAUUGCUCUGGC
rnacentral:lncRNA from 1 species